GUAAAUUGGAGUGAGACCCUAAACCCCCAAAUUGGAAAAUUGGAAUAGAAAGCAAGCAAUGCAUCACCAAUUGGUCGUCGGUUGAAGCUGAGCACUGAGCAGAGAAGCUAUUCAAAUUCGAUAUCAGUUCCUGUUCACCCUUCUCAGAAAAGGAGUCCUAGUUCACUUGUCUCCUCCUCCAGCUUUUGCCAAGCUUAAGGUGGUUCUCGAUUUUGUUCACGGCACCUUACUGCAGGUGGAGUGGAGUUUGGGUUUAUGAAUUGUUAUUAGUGAAAUGUGAGGUUUACUCGAGAAUUGGUUGGGAGAACAGUUUUGAUAAUGUGCUAGUAGAAGUCGACUUAGACUUUAUGAUUACUCUUAUUACUGGUGAUCCCUUGUUUCCAUCUUUUGCGUGAACUUUUGUUGGAAUGUCAAAAUUGUUGCAUGUUUCAGAGGGAGUGCACUUAUGUGGCAGACGGUCUUGCCCGUGUUUGGCCAUGCUUUGCAACUGGGGUUCAUUGAUUUGCCGCACAUCCUGAUUGCAUCUUGCUGCGUCUUCAUGAUCAUAUUCUGUUCUUUCGUGACCUAAAUUAUUUUCUGUUUUAUUUUAUUUGGGCAAAAGACUGGCAGUUAACUAGAAGAAUAAGUGAGUUGUAAGUUGUUACAGUGUAUUUACUAAUGGCAAUUUCAUUGUACCUUAAGAUUUUAUAUCUAACAGUAGUUACCAUUCA